rnacentral:rRNA from 1 species
CCUACGGGCGGCAGCAGUGAGGAAUAUUGGUCAAUGGGCGAGAGCCUGAACCAGCCAAGUCGCGUGAGGGAGUACUGCCCUAUGGGUUGUAAACCUCUUUUGGCGGGGAGCAAAAGACGGACGAGUCCGGCAGUGAGAGUACCCGAAGAAAAAGCAUCGGCUAACUCCGUGCCACCAGCCGCGGAAAUACGGGGGAUGCGGGCGUUAUCAGGAUUUAUUGGGUUUAAAGGGUGCGCAGGGGGAUUUUUAAGUCAGCGGUCAAAUCGUGGGGCUCAACCCCAUCCAGCCGUGGAAACUGGGGAUCUAGAGUGUGCGAGAGGUAUGCGGAAUGCGUGGUGUAGCGGUGAAAUGCAUAGAUAUCACGCAAAACCCCGAUUGCGAAGGCAGCAUACCGGUGCACAACUGACGCUCAGGCACGAAAGCGUGGGUAUCGAACAGGAUUAGAUACCCGGGUAGUC